AUCAGGGUAUUCACUGAAAAACAUAUCCCUAUAUUGUUUAACUUCUUCACUUAAAUUAAUCUCAUCAAAUGACCCAGCCAGUAACACAACCUUCCCUGUUUCAGUAACAAUCAUUUUGCCCUCAAUAAUCAACACUGGAAUAUUAUGAUCCCCACAAAUCCCAUUUUCUAAAUCAUAUCCCAAACAAUUCCAAGUUUGAUAUCCCUUCAUAUAACCUCCAAUAAAUCACCUACUUCCUCACCACGGCCUUUGCCCUUUUAUUGUUAAUAAUGUAACUCGGAGACUGAUGCACCAUCACAUAAAAACUCACAUUUCUCCCAAUUUGCUUCCUGUCCCGUUAUAAAUCCAAAUCCAAACUCAUAAAGACUGGAAGGCUGACUGACGUUCACAUAAACUAAUCACCUUCCGAGUUCCCAUUUGAGCGACAGGCACUGCAGCCAAUGACAGCAGGGGUCAGUGUUACGUCUGAGCUACGAUAGGCUGGAGGAAAUCGGCCCAUGACCAGCCCCUCCUCUUCCGCUCCAUCGCCAUGGCGGAGAUCAGCGAGUCGCUUCUGUCGGUGUCGCCGGCCUCGGCGCCCACAAGGACGGUUGUGAUUCCCCUUCGCGCCUCGGUGGGUCUGUUUCGGGGACGUCUGUGGUGGCUGACGAAACAUGCUUUGACAGGGAGCGAGCGAGGACCAAUGACUACAACUCCCAGAAGGCCCCACUGAUGACGUUGUGGUGGUGUUUCCGGCUUUCCCACCACAGAUGUAAGGCUCAAUGGUCUAUAAUUAUCUGGACUAUCCCUACUACCCUUUUUGAACAAGGGGACAACAUUCGCCUCCCUCCAAUACUCCGGUACAAUUCCCGUGGACAAUGGGGACAUAAUGAUCUUCGCCAGAGGCUCAGCAAUCUAUUUCCUUGCCUCGGAUGCAGAACUGGGAAGCGCAGAUGGAGUUCAACACAGAUGAAGAGGUUCAUUUCUGCAGGUCAAAUUUGAACACAGAAUAUAAUAUUAAUGGUUAGGCCGUACUUGGAGUUUUGUCAAUGUUUUUGGUCCCAUACCUCAGAAAGGAAGCAGGAUCUCAUCGAAACCUACCGAGUGUUGAAGGGACGAGACAGGGUGCAUGUGUUUCAUAUGAUGGGGUAUCCAG